UGGCGGACGGGGGAGUAACGCGUGGGUAACCUGCCCUGUACAGGGGGAUAACAGUCAGAAAUGACUGCUAAUACCGCAUAAGACCACAGCACCGCAUGGUGCAGGGGUAAAAACUCCGGUGGUACAGGAUGGACCCGCGUCUGAUUAGGUAGUUGGUGGGGUAACGGCCUACCAAGCCGACGAUCAGUAGCCGACCUGAGAGGGUGACCGGCCACAUUGGGACUGAGACACGGCCCAA
rnacentral:rRNA from 1 species